rnacentral:rRNA from 1 species
GAUGAACGCUGGCGGCGUGCCUAAUACAUGCAAGUCGAGCGAAUGGAUUAAGAGCUUGCUCUUAUGAAGUUAGCGGCGGACGGGUGAGUAACACGUGGGUAACCUGCCCAUAAGACUGGGAUAACUCCGGGAAACCGGGGCUAAUACCGGAUAAUAUUUUGAACUGCAUGGUUCAAAAUUGAAAGGCGGCUUCGGCUGUCACUUAUGGAUGGACCCGCGUCGCAUUAGCUAGUUGGCGAGGUAACGGCUAACCAAGACAACGAUGCGUAGCCCACCUGAGAGGGCGAUCGGCCACACUGGGACUGAGACACGGCCCAGACGCCUACGGGAGGCAGCAGUAGGGAAUCUUCCGCGAUGGACGAAAGUCUGACGGGGCAACGCCGCGUGAGUGAUGAAGGCUUUCGGGUCGUAAAACUCUGUUGUUAGGGAAGAACAAGUGCUAGUGGAAUAAGCUGGCACCUUGACGGUACCUAACCAGAAAGCCACGGCUAACUACGUGCCAGCCGCCGCAGUAA